GCGGGGCUCCAGCGGGCGCGCGCCGGACGCUCUCCGCAGACUCCCGGCGGCCGACCCGCUGGUCUUGGAGGGUAACCCGGUCCCCGCGUGUGGUGGGGUGGCGGCCCCGGAGUCCCCACGGCCACGGCAGGAGGCGUGUCUGGAGCUCCGGAGUCGGCGGGGCAGUUGUCGGGUACUCAGUGCCUUGUGUUCGAAUCCCAGCUCCUCCAGAGACAGUCUGAGACCUUGGAGGGCGCUCCUCGGAGCCUCAGUUUCCCCUCUGGGGCGAAGCGGGAGAAGGGAUGGCAGUGCUCGUUGCCAGCCGGAUUCCCCGGGCGGUCUCCGGCUGCCCUGCGCGGAGCACACGCUCGGCGACGGUUGUUGAAUGAAUGAGCAGAAGACGCGCAAGAGGCCAUAGAGCUUGUACACGUGGACGGAGGGUCUGUCCUGGUUCCAGUGUCCCAGAGCGGUACCUGCACAAGGUAGGUCCUCAAAACGUAUUAUGGAAGGAAUUAACAUUCAGGGUUUAUUUCAGUGCGGUCCUCCUCGUGGUUCUGGGGAACCUCCUUGGCCAGUGCCCUCCAACCACAGUUCCAGGAUUGUCCUGACACUGAACUUGUCUGGACUCCUUUUCAGGGGAAGCAGAAACUUUGAAUUCCUUGGUGAUGGGAGUCGUUCAUUGUUCACUCUUGCAGAAAGAGCUUAAAUCCAGUGAACGUUUCCUCUUUUCUGCGUCCUAACAAAGGCCCUGGGGCAGAUGAUGGCACAGAAUCAAUGUGACCCCAAACCCCAGGCCUCCCGCAUGCAUGCUGGGUGAGAAACCAGGGUCUGCUGAUCUGGUGACCAAGCCAGGUGAUAGGAUGGAAUACUCUUGAUCUUUUUGUUCCGUCUGUAUAUUCAAGGCACCUGGAUCUGAAUAAUUCAUGAGCAUUUGCAUUUCUUUUGUGUUGAAAUGUCACUUUUUUUUUUCCAUUUUAGAAAAAAAAUACCUAGUUUUAAAUCUUUCUCUUUUUUUCCCGUACUUUUUCUGUUUCUCUGUGCCCGUCCCCCAGGUUGAUGUGGCUUGAAACACUGGAGUUCUCUCUGGGACCCUCUCUCCUUGCACGCCAAACUCCUGAUACAGCCCGUGCCUGGGUCCUGGCUGCCCUGGCUCAUGUGUGCUGCCCCCAUUUUAGCGGCAUUUGAUAGUCCGGAAGGGCCUCCACCCACACCUUUUAACGGGAGCCUUCGUUGCAACCUUAGCCGCACAUCUUACUGGGACCCCCACAUCUUGGGAAGACGCAGACCCAUAUGGGGACCGUGGGGCAGCCU
rnacentral:lncRNA from 1 species